GUAGUAGAAGAAGAAGAAGUAGUAGUAGUAGAAGAAGAAGAAGAAGAAGAAGAAGGGAUAAUAAAACAAUAUCGAAAACAACUUAACUCGUGAGAACAUGGGGCGGUCUGGUACCCGGCGGCGAUACCAAGAGGAUGUAAUCUCAGAUGAAGAAAUUGAUGGAAGGAGAAUGUUUGAUCUGGAGGAGAAAGUCUACAGCCAGAGGUUCAACUCUGAUCGGAUCAUUCGCAUGCAAGGAAAAGAUUUAACGUACGAGUUCAUCCAAAGAGGUGGCCUGAGAGACCCAAUCAUCUUUGAGAAAAUUGAUGGACUCGGACUUAAGAUGCCUGAUCCAAGCUUCAGUGUUAGUGAUGUCAAGAUGUUUGUUGGUAGCAGACGUAUGAUUGAUGUCAUGGAUGUUAGCACUCAGAAGGGGACAGAGAUGUCCAUGGCCCAGUGGACACGGUACUAUGAGAGUUCUUCAUCUCAGCGAGAGAAGCUCUACAAUGUUAUCAGCCUGGAGUUCAGCCACACAAAGCUGGAAAACCUGGUCAAGAGACCUAGCACGCUUGAUCUUAUAGACUGGGUUGACAACAUGUGGCCCCGUCACCUGAAAGAGAGACAGCGAGACUCAACCAACUCAAUCAGUGAUAUGCAGUAUCCCAAAGUACAAAAGUACUGUCUGAUGAGUGUGGAGGGAUGCUACACAGACUUUCACAUAGACUUCGGAGGAACAUCUGUGUGGUAUCAUGUUCUAAGAGGAAGCAAGGUAUUCUGGCUGAUCCCUCCCACCGCUCAGAACUUAGAGCUAUAUGAACACUGGGUGCUGUCAGGAAAACAGGGAGAUAUUUUUCUUGGGGAUAGAGCUUCUGACUGCCAGAGGAUUGAACUUCGACAAGGAUGGACCUUCAUAAUACCAUCAGGUUGGAUUCAUGCAGUCUACACCCCUAUUGAUUCAAUUGUCUUUGGAGGAAACUUCCUUCACAGCUUUAACAUUCCAAUGCAACUUAAUAUCUGUAAUAUAGAGGACCGCACACGGGUUCCAGUGAAGUUCCGUCACCCAUUCUAUUAUGAGAUGUGCUGGUAUGUGUUGGAGCGCUAUAUCUUCAGUCUGACCAAGACCUCUUACCUUACACCAGAAUUUCAGAAAUUGUCUCUCGACAUUGAUCCAGCAUUUGAGGAUAUGGAGGAAGAAGAUAAGAGUGUCAGUGAAGAUGAUGUUUCAGAGCAGCUGUCUGACAAACCAGCAGUUCCAGUUAAUUUGACUCCAUUGGAGCUGGAGGGGCUGUGGAACUUGGUGGGCAAACUUGAGUCACUGCCAUCCAACAAGAAGUGUGUCCCAUCAGGCAUACACAAUUCCCUGGCACUCAUCACACACAUUAAGGCACUACUAAAGGAGCAUGCUAAUGACGAUCCCAAACAAUCCUACACUGGAAAACCGAUUGUUAGGUGGCCAAAGAGGCUCUUGAACUAUCAGCCACCACCACCACCACCACCACCUCCUCUUCAUCCUAAACUGGCUGCUGCUCCCGUCAUGCCACGACCACAGAAGCCAGCCUCUUCCAUGUCUGUCCUGAGAAGACGCAGGGUCAGGUGUAAGCGCUGUGAGGCAUGUAUGAGAGCUGAAUGUGGAGAUUGUAAUUUCUGCCGAGACAUGAAAAAGUUUGGAGGACCUGGAAAGCUCAAGCAAACCUGUGUCCUGCGCCAGUGUCUCUCACCAGGACUUCCGCUGUCUGCUGUUUGUGAAAUAUGCAAGGAGCCUAACCAAGAUGAAACUGGAGAUGGCUUCUUUACUCUGAUGGAAUGUUCCAAUUGUGCACAGAUAGUCCACCCUGCUUGCCUCACGGUUCAAGGUGAAGGAGUUAUCAACAAAGACCUUCCAAGCUGUUGGGAAUGUCCAAAAUGUGUUCAAGGGAUCACUGAGUCGGAGAAGCGGAAAUGUUCCUCUCUGCUGGAUGCUCGCAUGGCUAAGAUAUUUCGACAGCAGAGGCAUAGUCGUGAUGGAAAUGACUCCAGCGAUGAUGACGAGGAUGAAGCCACACAGAGAAAAAGGGUAAGAAUACAACGAGGAGGAUGCCACUCUUCCCGGAGGGGAUUUCGUACCAACAGGAGAGGACUUCUCAAAGGAGGAUUGACCCACAGAGGAAGCAGUGAGGGCCCUGUGACUCCUGGUACUCAUUCCAUCCUCAAGGUCAAGGCUGGUAGGAGGAGAGGGGUGAGAUUAAGGGGUGGUUCAAGGAUGCAGCAAAGAGGCGCUUCUACUGAGGAAUCUGAUGGUGAUGAAGAGGAAGAUGAUGACAGUGGAAACGAUGACGAAGAUCAGCAUCCUCACCAGUAUAAUAGGAGGUCCAGGACUGAUGAUGAUGAAGAUGAGGACAGUGAAAAACAUGAAUUUGACCCAGAGGAUGAGGACAUGGAACUAGAAGAUGAAGAGCAGGAAGGACCCUGGGAUUCUGACCCAGAACCUCCAGUGCUCUUGAUGUCUGAUCUGAAUGAUGACAUACUUUGCGGCUCCUACCUGACUGUGACUCUACAACAUCCCACCAAGACCAAUAAACAAUCUGUCAUCCCGACUGCUGGUGAGGCUAAUGGAGGAGCUAGCUUGCAUAGCCCUACUCCUGCCGCAGCUGUUUUGUCUAUAGUUCCGAAAAUGGAAGCUGCCAUGGGUUUUAGGACACCUCCAGUAAAUCCAUGUGGUCAACCAAACUUGAACCGAAAGACCACUUUUUCCAAACCUUUGCGGUUCAAGAGCGAUGACAACACACGGGAUGGCCACAUUCCACAAGGACCAGGAAGGCCAAGUCUUCGUGGCAACUGUGUCAUCCGGGGCACUCUCGAUCAGUCUGUGUCCUCAGAGGAAGGGGAACCCGCUACUUCCUUUGUCCCUCCAACACUGUCACUUCCAUCCCUGCUGUGCCUAUCAUCUUUUCAGGAUGUGGAUGAGAGUGGAGGAGAGAAGGAAGUGUGGGUGUCUGUUUUCAGAUAUCUAAACAGAGCUGAGCUGCUCAACUGCAUGACUGUCUGCAAGGCCUGGUAUAAGUGGAGCUUUGAUAAGCAUCUAUGGAGCCAUCUGGAUAUGAGUCGAUUCAAUCAACUUAGUAACCAGGCGUUGGCAGGUAUCAUAAAACAUCAGCCCACUUCUUUGGACCUCUCAUGGACACCCCUGGCCAAAAGGCAGCUCAUCUGUCUUCUAACCAGGCUUCCAGGUCUUCGAGAGUUAAGGGUUGCUGGCCUCUCCUGGUCAUGCCUGUCAGCAUUGGUCUCCCCUGCUCUUCCCUAUCUUCGACUACUGGAUCUGCGCUGGUGUGAAGGCAUUAAAGAUACCCAAUUUAAAGAACUCCUCUCCCAACAUGGCUCAGAGUCAUCUCGCUGCAGACUAAAGAACAUCGAGACACUGCACCUGUCUGGUCUGGAUAUCAAUGAAUCCACUCUGAGACUUAUGCAGCAUCAUAUGCCACACUUGGAGAAGCUGGACCUGGCUCACUGCAAGAACAUUACAGAUUCUUCCAUAGCUUUGCUGGCAGCAGGCGGGACACGCACUCGCAGCAACCUCAAUGAACUCAUUCUAGCAGGGACAUGACGACAUGCGCCCGGGCGGGGAUACGAUCAGACGAUCCUCUGCGCCACGCCACUCACAAGACGUCCAAGAUUUUUCCGUGUUUGGCUCCAUUCAGCUUCCCAUCAUCAUCAGAAGAGCAUCCCCACACAGGAUCUGACAUCAACUGUGGCCCUGGUAUGGUGGAAAAAUUGCAGAUCAGACAUGCACACCGAUCAGGAUGGAUUUUGUACCAAUCCUCUUUGCAAAACUGUUGCAGUUCAGCAAUAUUCUCGGGAUAUCUGGUGUGAAUAGCUCUCUUGAGGUCAUGCCACAGCAUCUCAAUCAGAUUGAGGUCAGGACUUUGACUGGACCACUCAAGAAAAUUUAUGUUCUCCUUGAAGCCAUUCUGAUUUGUUUUGGAUCAUUGUCCUGUUGCAACACUCGUCUUUUGGGCUUCAACUGUUGGACAUUUGGCCUCAAGUUCUUCUGCAAAAUACCUUCAUAAAUUUGUGAAUUCAUUUUUCCAUUUAUGAUAGCACGCUGUCCAGGCUCUGAGGUAGGGAAGCACGAGCAUACCAUGAUGCUUCCUCCACCAUGCUUCACAGUUUGGAUAUGGUUUGAUGUUGGUGUGCUGUCAUUUUUUUCUUCCACACAUGGCAUUAUGUGUUCCUCCCAAACAAUUAAACUUUGGUUUCAUCUGUCCACAGAUUAUUUUGUCAGUAGUGCUGUGAAACAUCCAAUUGCUCUUUAGAAAACUUCAAAGGUGCAGCAAUGUUUUUUUCAGACAGCAACGGCUUUCUCGUUCGUGUUCUCCCAUGAAUCCCAUUUUUGUUUAAUGUUUUAGGUAUGGUAGAUUUGUCAACAGAGAUGUUUGCAUGUGCCAGUGAUUUCUGUAAAUCUU